GAAGAGACUGCUUCACCCUGUUCUUUGCAGUGCUUCCCUAAGGGAGUGGACAUGAUGGCUGCCCUUGAUCUCUAUUUCCAGCUGUGCUCUGUGGAGGUUACCUGUGAGUCAGGCAGUGUCAUGGCGGCCACUCUUGCCAAUGGCGGCAUCUGCCCCAUCACAGGGGAGAGCGUGCUGAGUGCGGAAGCCGUGCGCAACACCCUCAGCCUCAUGCACUCCUGUGGCAUGUAUGACUUCUCGGGCCAGUUUGCCUUCCACGUGGGCCUGCCAGCCAAGUCAGCUGUGUCGG
rnacentral:lncRNA from 1 species